GAGGGUGUAGCUCAGUGGUAGAGCAUGUGUUUAGCAUGUGCAAGGCCCUGGUUUCAAUACCCAGCACCAUUA
rnacentral:tRNA from 1 species